rnacentral:sRNA from 1 species
AAACAGCAAAUAGCUUUGUUAGUGUUCCUAUGUUCAAAAUGAGUCACAAUCCAAAUCCUUUGACUAAAUUUAAGAGUUAGAGAUGGAUUAAGAGUGUUUAGACAAUACUUAUACCCAUUUUCUCCUAAAAGAGACUAAAACCAGCAAAAAUUUGUUUAAAAGCAGUAAAUAGCUUUGUUAGUGUUUCUAUGGUCAAAACGUGUCACAAUCCAAAGCAUUUGACUAAUUAUAAGAUUUAUAGAUGGAUUAGGAGUGUUUAGACAAUACUUAUACCUAUUUUCUCCUAAAAUAGGCUAAAACCAAUAAAAAAUUGCUUAGAAGCAGUAAAUAGCUUUGUUAGUGUUUCCAUGGUCAAGAUGUAUCACGAUCCAAUGUAUUUGACUAAUUCUAUCAGUUAAAGAUGGAUUAGGAAUGUUUACACAACACUUAUACCCAUUUUGUCCUAAAAGAGGCUAAAACCAACAAAAAAUUGCUUAGAAGUAGUAAAUAGCUUUGUUAGUGCUUCUAUGGUCAAAAUGUGUCAUAAUCCAAUGCAUUUGACUAAUUAUAAGAGAUAAAGAUAGAUUAAGAGUGUUUGGACAACACUUAUACCCAUUUUCUCCCAGAAGAGGCUAAAACCAACAAAAAAAAACUAAGAAACAGUAAAUAACUUUGUUAGUGUUUCUAUGGUCAAAAUGUGUCACAAUCCAAAGCCUUUAACUAAUUAUAAGAGUUAGAGAUGGAUUAGGAGUGUUUAUACAAUACUUAUACCCAUUUUCUCCCAAAAGAGGCUAAAACCAACAAAACAUUGCUUAGAAGCAGUAAAUAGCUUUGUUAGUGUUUCUAUGGUCAAAAUGUGUCACAAUCCAAAGCCUUUGACUAAGUAUAAGAGUUAGAGAUGGAUUAAGAAUGUUUAGACAACACUUAUACCCAUUUUCUCCCAAAAGAGGCUAAAACCAACAAAAUUUGCUUAGAAGCAGUAAAUAGCUUUGUUUGUGUUUCUAUGGUCAAAAUGUGUCACAAUCCAAUGCAUUUGACUAAUGAUAAGAGUUUGGGAUGGAUUAGGAGUGUUUAGACAACACUUAUACCCAUUUUCUCCCAAAAGAGGCUAAUACCAACAAACAAAUUGCUUAACAACAGUUAACAGUUUUGAUAGUGUUUUUAUGGCAAAAUAUUUCACAAUCCAAUGCAUUUGACUAAUGCUAAGAGUUUGAGAUGGAUUAGAAGUGUUUAGACAACACUUAUACCCAUUUUCUCCCAAAAGAGGCUAAAACCUACAAAACAUUGCUUAGAAACAGUAAACGGUUUUGAUAGUGUUUUUAAGGCAAAAUGUUUUACAAUCCAAUGCAUUUGUAUAUUAUAAGAGUUAGAGAUGGAUUAGGAGUGUUUAGACAACACUUAUACCUAUUUUCUCCCAAAUGAGGCGAAAACCAACAAAUAAUUGUUUAGAAGCAGUAAAUAGCUUUUUUAGUGUUUCUCUAGUCAAAAUGUGUCACAAUCCAAAUCCUUUGGACUAAUUAUAAGAAUUAGAGAUGGAUUAAGAGUGUUUAGACAACACUUAUACCAAUUUUCUCCUAAAAGAGUCUUAAACCAACAAAAAAUUGCUUAAAAGCAGUAACAGUUUAGUUCGUGUUUUUAUGGUCAAAAUGUGUCACAAUCCAAUGCAUUUCACUAAUUAUAAGAGUUUAAGAUGGAUUAGAAGUGUUUACACAACACUUAUACCCAUUUUCUCCCAAAAGAGGCUAAAACCAACAAAAAUUGUUUUGAAACAAUAGACAGUUUUGUUAGUGUUUUUAUGGUAAAAAUGUGUCACAAUCCAAUGCAUUUGACUAAUUAUAAGAGUUAGAGAUGGAUUAGGAGUGUUUAGACAACACUUAUACCCAUUUUCUAUUAAAACAGGCUAAAACCAACAAAAAAUUGCUUGAAGCAGUAAAUAGCUUUGUUAGUGUUUCUAUGUUCAAAAUGAGUCACAAUCCAAAUCCUUUGACUAAAUUUAAGAGUUAGAGAUGGAUUAAGAGUGUUUAGACAAUACUUAUACCCAUUUUCUCCUAAAAGAGACUAAAACCAGCAAAUAUUUGUUUAAAAGCAGUAAAUAGUUUUGUUAGUGUUUUUAUGGUAAAAAUAUGUCACAAUCCAAUGCAUUUGACUAAUUAUAAGAGUUAGAGAUGGAUUAGGAGUGUUUAGACAACACUUAUACCCAUUUUCUCUUAAAACAGGCUAAAACCAACAAAAAAUUGCUUGAAGCAGUAAAUAGCUUUGUUAGUGUUCCUAUGUUCAAAAUGAGUCACAAUCCAAAUCCUUUGACUAAAUUUAAGAGUUAGAGAUGGAUUAAGAGUGUUUAGACAAUACUUAUACCCAUUUUCUCCUAAAAGAGACUAAAACCAGCAAAAAUUUGUUUAAAAGCAGUAAAUAGUUUUGUUAGUGUUUUUAUGGUCAAAAUGUGUCACAAUCCAAAGCAUUUGACUAAUUAUAAGAGUUAUAGAUGGACUAGGAGUGUUUAGACAACACUUAUACCUAUUUUCUCCUAAAAUAGGCUAAAACCAAUAAAAAAUUGCUUAGAAGCAGUAAAUCGCUUUGUUAGUGUUUCCAUGGUCAAAAUGUAUCACGAUCCAAUGUAUUUGACUAAUUCUAUCAGUUAAAGACUG